AGUGAACGCUGGCGGUAGGCCUAACACAUGCAAGUCGAACGGCAGCACAGUAAGAGCUUGCUCUUACGGGUGGCGAGUGGCGGACGGGUGAGGAAUACAUCGGAAUCUACUUUUUCGUGGGGGAUAACGUAGGGAAACUUACGCUAAUACCGCAUACGACCUACGGGUGAAAGCAGGGGAUCUUCGGACCUUGCGCGAUUGAAUGAGCCGAUGUCGGAUUAGCUAGUUGGCGGGGUAAAGGCCCACCAAGGCGACGAUCCGUAGCUGGUCUGAGAGGAUGAUCAGCAACACUGGAGCUGAGACACGGUCCAGACUCCGACGGGAGGCAGCAGUGGGGAAUAUUGGACAAUGGGCGCAAGCCUGAUCCAGCCAUACCGCGUGGGUGAAGAAGGCCUUCGGGUUGUAAAGCCCUUUUGUUGGGAAAGAAAAGCAGCAGGUUAAUACCCCGCUGUUCUGACGGUACCCAAAGAAUAAGCACCGGCUAACUUCGU
rnacentral:rRNA from 1 species